ACUCCUACGGGAGGCAGCAGUGGGGAAUAUUGCACAAUGGGCGCAAGCCUGAUGCAGCCAUGCCGCGUGUGUGAAGAAGGCCUUCGGGUUGUAAAGCACUUUCAGUCGUGAGGAAGGUAGUGUAGUUAAUAGCUGCAUUAUUUGACGUUAGCGACAGAAGAAGCACCGGCUAACUCCGUGCCAGCAGCCGCGGUAAUACGGAGGGUGCGAGCGUUAAUCGGAAUUACUGGGCGUAAAGCGCAUGCAGGUGGUUUGUUAAGUCAGAUGUGAAAGCCCGGGGCUCAACCUCGGAAUAGCAUUUGAAACUGGCAGACUAGAGUACUGGUAGAGGGGGUUAGAAUUUCAGGUGUAGCGGUGAAAUGCGUAGAGAUCGUGAAGGAUACCGGUGGCGAAGGCGGCCCCUGGACAGAUACUGACACUCAG
rnacentral:rRNA from 1 species